rnacentral:rRNA from 1 species
GACGAACGCUGGCGGCGUGCCUAACACAUGCAAGUCGAGCGGAGUCGAUCGACGGAAGCCUUCGGGCGGAAGAUGGUUGACUUAGCGGCGGAUGGGUGAGUAACGCGUGGGCAACCUGCCUCGAAGACCGGGAUAACAGCCCGAAAGGGCUGCUAAUACCGGAUGUGGUCAAGGAUCCGCAUGGAUUUUUGAUUAAAGGGGAAACCCGUUUCGAGAUGGGCCCGCGUCCUAUCAGCUAGUUGGUGAAGUAAAAGCUCACCAAGGCGACGACGGGUAGCCGGCCUGAGAGGGUGACCGGCCACACUGGAACUGAGACACGGUCCAGACUCCUACGGGGGCAGCAGUGGGGAAUCUUCCACAAUGGGCGAAAGCCUGAUGGAGCGACGCCGCGUGAGCGAAGAAGGCCUUCGGUUGUAACCUCUGUCAUGGGGAAGAAGUAAGUGACGGUACCCAAGAGGAAGCCCCUGCUAACUACGUG